GAUUUCAAAUGGAAAUAUGGUCAAAAACAAAGUUGAUCCUCUCAUCAGGAUCUACAACUUUUAUUUUGGUCACUUCUUCAUCCGACAAAGUGAUAGUUAUACUAUUCACAAUAAUCACAUUUCUCUCAUCUGGUUUAUAAAUAUCAACACAGAUAUGUCAAUUUUGUAAACAUUGGUAGUAUAACUUUGUUGGAUGAAGAAGUGACCAAAAUAAAAGUUGUAGAUCCUGAUGGGAGGAUCAACUUUGUUUUUGACUAUAUUUCCAUUUGAAAUC
rnacentral:pre_miRNA from 1 species